AAACCAGCACCUCAAGUUGUCAGGAGGAUUAUUGGGCCUAAAGCAUCCGUAGCCUGCUCUGUAAGUUUCCGGUUAAAUCCAUUUGCUCAACAAAUGGGCUGCCGGAAAAACUGCAAAGCUAGGGAGUGGGAGAGGUAGACGGUACUCGGUAGGAAGGGGUAAAAUCCUUUGAUCUAUUGAUGACCACCUGUGGCGAAGGCGGUCUACCAGAACACGUUCGACGGUGAGGGAUGAAAGCUGGGGGAGCAAACCGGAUUAGAAACCCGGGUAGUCC
rnacentral:rRNA from 1 species